GACGAACGCUGGCGGCGUGCCUAAUACAUGCAGUCGAACGGUCUUUUCUAUGGAAGCUUGCUUCCACUGAGAAGAUAGUGGCGAACGGGUGAGUAACACGUGGGUAACCUGCCCAUAAGAGGGGGAUAACAUCCGGAAACGGGUGCUAAUACCGCAUAGUUUUCUUGAUCGCAUGAUUGAGAAAGGAAAGACGGCCUUUGUGCUGUCGCUUAUGGAUGGACCCGCGGCGUAUUAGUUAGUUGGUGAGGUAACGGCUCACCAAGACGAUGAUACGUAGCCGACCUGAGAGGGUGAUCGGCCACAUUGGGACUGAGACACGGCCCAAACUCCUACGGGAGGCAGCAGUAGGGAAUCUUCCGCAAUGGACGAAAGUCUGACGGAGCAACGCCGCGUGAGUGAAGAAGGUUUUCGGAUCGUAAAACUCUGUUGUCAGAGAAGAACAAGUUGGAGAGUAACUGCUCCAGCCUUGACGGUAUCUGACCAGAAAGCCACGGCUGACUACGUGCCAGCCGCCGCAGUAAUAC
rnacentral:rRNA from 1 species